CUCACUCUGUCACCCCCUCACUCUAGUGACAGAGGGAGGGAGGGGGUGACUAGUGACAGAGUGAGAGAGAGGGUGACUAGUGACAGAGUGAGGAAGGGGGUGACACAGUGACAGAGUGAGGGAGGGGGUGACUAGUGACAGAGUGAAGGAGGUGGUGACCGUCACUAGUCACCCCCUCCCUCUCUCUGUCACUAGUGACACCCUCCCUCACUCUGUCACUAGUCACCCCCUCCCUCACUGUCACUAGUCACCCCCUCCCUCUCUCUGUCACUAGUCACACCCUCCCUCUCUCUGUCACUAGUCACCCCCUCCCUCACUCUUUCACUAGAGUGAGGGGGUGACUGUCACUAGUCACCCC